rnacentral:rRNA from 1 species
UGGGGGAUAUUGCGCAAUGGAGGAAACUCUGACGCAGCAACGCCGCGUGAAGGACGAAGGUCUUCGGAUCGUAAACUUUUGUCUUUGGGGAAGAUAAUGACGGUACCCAAGGAGGAAGCCACGGCUAACUACGUGCCAGCAGCCGCGGUAAUACGUAGGUGGCAAGCGUUGUCCGGAUUUACUGGGUGUAAAGGGCGUGUAGGCGGGUAGAUAAGUCAGAUGUGAAAUGCAGGGGCUCAACCCCUGAGCUGCAUUUGAAACUGUUUAUCUUGAGUGCAGGAGAGGAAAGUGGAAUUCCUAGUGUAGCGGUGAAAUGCGUAGAUAUUAGGAGGAACACCAGUGGCGAAGGCGACUUUCUGGACUGUAACUGACGCUGAGGCGCGAAAGCGUGGGGAGCAAACAGG